rnacentral:rRNA from 1 species
UUGGAGGGCAAGUCUGGUGCCAGCAGCCGCGGUAAUUCCAGCUCCAAUAGCGUAUAUUAAAGUUGUUGCAGUUAAAAAGCUCGUAGUUGAAUUUCGGGAUCAGUACGCUGGUCACGCCUUUGGCAUGCACUGGUGUCACUGGUUUCUCCCUUCUGAAGAUCCGUGAUGUCAUUAAUUUGGUGUCGCGGGAAAUCAGGACUGUUACCUUGAAAAAAUUAGAGUGUUUAAAGCAGGCUCACGCUUGAAUACAUUAGCAUGGAAUAAUGAAAUAGGACGUUUGACCCUAUUUUGUUGGUUUCUAGGAUUGACGUAAUGAUUAAUAGGGAUAGUUGGGGGCAUUAGUAUUCAAUUGUCAGAGGUGAAAUUCUUGGAUUUAUUGAAGACUAACUACUGCGAAAGCAUUUGCCAAGGAUGUUUUCAUUAAUCAAGAACGAAAGUUAGGGGAUCGAAGACGAUCAGAUACCGUCGUAGUCUUAACCAUAAACUAUGCCGACUAGGGAUCGGAUGAUGUUAAUUUUAUAAUGACUCAUUCGACGCCUUACGGGAAACCAAAGUGUUUGGGUUC